rnacentral:rRNA from 1 species
AUUGAACGCUGGCGGCAGGCCUAACACAUGCAAGUCGAGCGAGCGGCGGACGGGUGAGUAAUGUAUGGGGACUGCCCGAUAGAGGGGGAUAACUACUGGAAACGGUAGCUAAUACCGCAUACUAUCGGAUAACCCAUAUGGGAUUAGCUAGUAGGUGAGGUAAUGGCUCACCUAGGCGACGAUCCCUAGCUGGUCUGGCGGGAUGUUCAGCCCCCCUGGGACUGUGACACGGCCCAUAAUCCCCCUCCUUCCCCCUUUUCCUCUAUUUCAACCUUAUCGAAAGCCUGAUUCAGCCAUGCCGCGUGUAUGAAUACUUCCCUAUGUUUUUCACGUACUUUCAGUCGGGAGGCGUUACCGACAGAAGAAGCACCGGCUAACUCCGUGCCAGCAGCCGCGGUAAUUC